CCUACGGGUGGCAGCAGUGAGGAAUCUUUGUCAAUGGACGAGAGUCUGAACCAGCCACGUAGCGUGAAGGAUGACUGCCCUAUGGGUUGUAAACUUCUUUUAUAAAGGAAUAAAACGAGGCACGUGUGCCUUUAUGCAUGUACUUUAUGAAUAAGGAUCGGCUAACUCCGUGCCCGCAGCCGCGGUAAUACGGAGGAUCCGAGCGUUAUCCGGAUUUAUUGGGUUUAAAGGGAGCGUAGAUGGGUUGUUAAGUCAGUUGUGAAAGUUUGCGGCUCAACCGGAAAAUUGCAAUUGAUACUGGCAGUCUUGAGUACAGUUGAGGUAGGCGGAAUUCGUGGUGUAGCGGUGAAAUGCGUAGAUAUCGCGAAGAACCCCGAUGGCGAAGGCAGCUUACUAAACUGUGACUGACAUUGAUGCUCGAAAGUGUGGGGAGCAAACAGGAUUAGAUACCCGAGUAGUC
rnacentral:rRNA from 1 species